GCGGCGGUAAGCAUUUCAGCCAACCGGAUCAAAUCGAAAUGUUGAGCGUUUAAAUGGUCUUUGUUUUGGGAAGACUCCCAGUCCCUAUUUCCUUAUUUGAAAGCUAAAGAAAUGUAUGACAGUCAACAGUUAAGAUGGAAGAAAACCAGUUUACUUCACUGACGGUUCCCUCGGAUUAUUUUCAGCAGUGGUACCAGUCCAGCCAGCAGUACCCUGAGGUACAGCAUGUGGCACCCUAUCCCAGCAUGGACCAUUACACUGAAGGUCCCGUGGAUGAGCCUGUCAUGGCCGAGCUAUCUGUUCACCGGGAUCCAAAUUUUUAUCAGGAACCUUUUUACACGAACUACCUUCCAGCCCCAAAUCAUUACCCGGAGCAGGUGUCUCAGCAGAACAUCAGAGAGCACCAGCAGCACCCAGAUCUUGCACUCCUGCACCACCCACGGCAUCAACAUACACAACACAUACAGCAUGCUCAACACACACAGCAUACACAGCAGCACGGGCCAAGUAUUCAGCACCAGCCUUCAGGUCCACCUAAAGACGUGACACCAGUGAAGAAGAAGAGAGGUCGACCUCCGAAACAGCAAGCGGAGGAUGGUGAGACACGUGAGGAGGACGACGAGGUUGAGGCUGCCAAAAAAGCCAAGAGAGCUCUCAACCGCUUCAACGGCAUGUCAGUGGCUGAAGUUAUGGCUAAAACACUGCCAGAUGUGAUUACCUACAAUCUCGACAUUUUGAUAAUUGGAAUUAAUCCAGGCCUAUUGUCAGCUUACAAAGGACAUCAUUACCCAAACCCAGGGAACCAUUUCUGGAAAUGUCUGUUUCUGUCAGGUCUAACUGACCAGCAACUUAACUACAUGCAUGACCAGAGCCUGCCAGAGAAAUACAGCAUCGGCUUUACCAAUAUGGUAGAAAGGACCACACCUGGCAGCAAGGAUCUCUCCAGUAAGGAGAUCCGUGAAGGAGGCCGACAGUUACUUGAGAAGCUACAAAAAUACAAGCCAUUAAUAGCAGCGUUUAAUGGAAAAGGUAUUUAUGAAAUCUUCUGCAAAGAAACCUUUGGUGUGAAGGCCAAGAACCUUGAGUUUGGACUACAGCCGUACAAAAUUCCCGAAACUGAAACGGUGUGCUACUUGAUGCCGUCAUCGAGCCCCCGCUGUGCUCAGUUUCCUCGUGCACAAGAUAAGGUGCAUUUUUACAUCAAGCUGAAGGAACUGAGAGACCAGAUGAAAGGCCUGGCACCGAGCCGUGAGGUGGAAGAGACAGAGUACUCUUUUGACCUGCAGCUAGCUAAAGAGGAUGCUAAAAGGAUUGCAAUCAAAGAGGAGCAGCUAGAUCCAGAGUAUGAAAGCUGUAGUGCACUGCAUGAAGAAACCAGGCACAGCAACAACUCCUCGAAAUAAAAGAGAUUCAGGGGAGGAGAAAAAACAAGCCUGCCUACUGGAGCACUCAGGGUUGGAAGGGGGCUGGAGUCUAUCCCAGUCACAGCGAAAAAGGCGGGGUACACCUCGGACAGGUCGCCAGUAAAUCACAGGUCUAGAGACAGACAAACUUUCAUGCUCAAAUUCCCACCUAGGGCCAAAUAAGAGUUUUCUUUCAACCUAACCCUUGUCUGUGUUUGGACUGUGAAAGGAAGCUGGAGUACCAUAAGAGAACCCAAUGCGAGCAUGGCGAAAACAUGUAAACCCCACACAUAAAGGCCCAUCCACAUUAUAUGCUCAUCAGCUUAUAAUGAUGUGUAACACCUCGGGACAUUUGCUCAACAGAUACCAAAUACCAGCUGACCUAGUAGCCUCACCAAGGAUGAGAAGUAACACUGUGAGAGAAGAAGACCUCUGUUCCCCAGACAGUGUCACGCACAAAACAGAAAAGCCCCCACAGCACUCACACAUGUGCAUGU